rnacentral:rRNA from 1 species
AACGAACGCUGGCGGCGUGGAUAAGACAUGCAAGUCGAACGGGAGUUUGUUUAUAGCAAUAUGAGUGAACUCUAGUGGCGAAAGGGUGCGUAACACGUAGCUACCUACCUCGAAGUUGGGGAUAGCUCGGCGAAAGCCGGAUUAAUACCGAAUGUGAUCGUGAGAUCAAAGCUGGGGAUCGUAAGACCUGGCGCUUUGAGAUGGGGCUGCGGCCUAUCAGCAGUUGGCGGGUAACGGCCACCAAGGCUUAGACGGGUAGCUGGUCUGAGAGGACGACCAGCCACACUGGAACUGAGACACGGUCAGACACCUACGGGUGGCAGCAGUCGAGGAUUUUUCUCAAUGGGGGAAACCCUGAAGGAGCGACGCCGCGUGAGGGAUGAAGGUC